UUGCCAGCUGGGUUUAUUUGGGCUACUCCCUAAUGUAAUCAGUUACUCCCUAAAGACUUACUGCUCUGCCCACUUUGUAGAGUAAUUUAAAGAUUCUAGACAAAUGUUUAAGGAGCAUGGCUUUUACAGACAGACUGCUUCAAAUCCUGGCUUCAUACCUAACUAACUUGGGCAAACUUUACUUUCUUAUCUGCAAAAUGGGAGCAAUAGUAGUAGCUACUUCACCGAAGUGUUAUGAGGAUUAAAUAAUAUUAUCUAAGUAAAGCACUCAGUACAGUGCAUGGAACAUGGUGAGUAGUGCAGUAAGUAUUGGCCAUUACUACUACCAAAUGAGAUAAUACAGGCAAAAACUCUCUCUGAUCUAUCAAGAUAAGGCAUUCUUAGUUCCAACCAAAUACUUUAGGGGAAUGGUAAAUUGCAUCACCGGAAGAUUUCUUACUUAAAAGUUGACUCUUUUUUUUUUUUUUUUUGUUACAGAGACAGCCUUUUGGUAUGUUUAGGGUUUGACGUCUGAAAUACUGAUCCACACACAACUGAAUAACAAGUUGUAAAAAGUGAGACAUUCCUACGUUAGGUAAUAAGUGUUGGCUCUGACCCAGGAGCUCAAGGUCUGAAUGUCCUUAGAGGCGAUGGACAGAAAUAUGUUAAGAAAUGAACGAAACCUUGGUAUUGGUCGGGUCACAUUUAAUUCAAACCUGUGAUUGACAAACCUAUUGAGGUUGUGAAGCACCUGGAAGUUGUGAUACUUUUUGGAGAAAAUCAUGAAAUUAUUAUCUUUGAACAAGAAACAGUUUUACUUGCUGUAAGUAUGACCAAAAGUAAAUAUUCAAUAUGAAAAAAUUUAUCAGAAGCACAUAAACUUAGAAGAAAAAAAUCUGUCCAACCAGGAUUGUUUCUCGCUUCUGAAUUUGUGUGUGUGUGUGUGUGUGUGUGUGUGUGUGAUCUUCUCUGAUUGCCUUACUUUUCUGUACCUCAUUCCUCUCUCACUCUUCAUUUGUUUAGAAAAUGUGUUCAUCUCAGUUUGGCAAUAAGUGGAAAUCAGUUCCAGGAGACUGAUUUAAGCAUUAUCUUGAGUUUUCUUCCUUCUGUAUUCAUGUCUUCUAUUUUUACUCACGUCUGUGUUCUGUUCUGUUAGUUUUUCAAUUGGUUGUUGAAUUUAAAAGCUUAAUGAAAGAUUAAAUAACUUGCCUGUGUUCGAAGAACCAGUAAAUAGGGAGCUGGAAUGCAAUUCCAGGCGGCCUGGCUCCAGAACCUGAGUUAUGUAACGGUCUCCCUGUUUAUUUAUAAUACAUUAAUAAGUAAGCAGGCUUAUUUUUAAAGUGGUUUUUUAAAAGUCUUAUUGUACCACUCUCAAUUCAUGGAGAAAUAAUGCAUUUUUUCAAUAGUAGAGGUGAAACAGUAACUUAUUCCCAAGCCCACAGCCAAAGUAAACAGUAUAAUUUCCUUCUUUGUGGGCCUGGGGGGCUUGUAGUUAGAGAGGGACACAGAAUCAAGGGAGGAUCUGUUUUGGGUGGAAGAAAACCAAACCUGCUCUAUACUUUAAGGAGAGGGAGUUACUGGAAGAGGAAAGUACAAAGAUAUAGAAGGGAGAAGCUGUGACUGCUGAAGAGAAGGUUGGGCUGGGAGAUGAGGUCCUAUAACUGGACAUAAGUGGAGGAAUUUGCUUCAAGACAAGAAGGGAAGACAGGUACGCCUGACGUUGGUAAGAUACCUAAUGAAGGAGAAGGCAGAGAAUGAUGAGCUUCAAGCCCUGCCACUCUGACAUAGCAGGGAACAAAUAAGACAGGGAGACAUCCUCUGCCUACUGUGGGAGCCCUACAAUACCAGAUUUUGAAAGGAAAAGAAAAACUUACUCAUGGAUCCUUGCACCAAAGCUAAAGAACAAUAAAUAUUCAGAUCAGUAGAGUUAAUGGUUUAAAUAAUCCACCCAUUUCCCAGGAGUCUUUCUGGAAAUUGUACCCUCAGGACACCUUAGACCCUUCAUUCCCCCAUAGGCACAUGGAUUAUUACCACGCUUGCAGGUCUUGAACCUUCUUCCCCCUUGGACACUAUUCCAGGAGUAAAAGUGGUCAGGAGAGAAUCCAGGUUUACUAUAUUUUCAAUAUUCUGAUUUCAUUCAGCAUCUUUUCUUUCCCCUAUUUUCCAUUUCUCCCUCAUUCUUUCUUUUCUCAGUUUGGAAAAUCUCCUCUCCAUAAUGUAAUAGCUUCAAGAACCAAAGAAAGGCAAUGUUAGAAAGGUUCCAAUUUGGGGCUUCUGGGUGGCUCAGCCAGUUAAGCAUCUGACACAUGAUUUCAGCUCAGGUCAUGAUCUCAGGGUCAUGAGAUCCAGCCUGGAGAUCGCAUCAGGCUCUGUGCUGAGCAUGGAGCCUACUUGUGAUUCUCUCUCUCUCUCUCUCUCUCUCUCUCUCUCUCUUUCCCCCCACACCCUUCCUGCCCUCUCCUGCCCUGACUUGCAUGUGCUCUCUCACUCUAAAAAAAAAAAUUUCUAAUUUUAUAAAAAAAGAAAACUGAGGCUGAGAGAAGAGAAGGUCUGUGGCCGAGUGUGCUAAAAAUUAUAUGCAGUCAUUUAUGGGGUGCCUGGGUGGCUCAUUCAGUUAAGUGUCCGACUUUG